rnacentral:lncRNA from 1 species
AUCUUUCCUAAAUCGGAAUUGGCAACCAAAGUUUCUAAAGUUGGAAGUUUCUAUUCUUGGAGGUUUCCAUUUUUGUGAGUUUCUAUUCUCGGCUUUGGGCUUUUGGAUGACCCAUCCUUACUUCUUGGACCUAUGCCGCACCUUAACCCUAACCCUAGUCCACUUAAUCAGCCGCACCUAGGCCUUGUUCACAUGCAAAAAAUCUGAUUAUUUACCCUAAGCCCAAUGCCGCACCUUUCCAUCCUAGAAGCCCUAUUUUACAAACCUUAACCCUAGCCCAUUGUUUCAAUCUGAUUUCAUUAGGGUUUUAAGUGCAUCUAUAUUUAUUUUUCUACACCUAGCCGGAUGAAUCCCCCUCUCCAAAAAAUCAGAAAUCGUCUAAACCCUAUUCCCAUCUCUGCCGCAGCUAUCAUCCAUUCCAGCCACCAUCCAUACCCCUUGCCGCAACCACCCCUCUACUCCAGCCACCAUUCUCCAUCUCCAUACACCAUUCAUACCCCUUGCCGCACCACCAUAUCAUCCUAACUCCAUUCCUAACCCAAAACCACAUCCAAAAAUCCCUUUAACCAUCUCUGCCGCAGCAAGGAGAAGAAGAAGAGGAGCUUGACGUGCAGAAAUUCAAAGUGGAAUUCUUGGGCGUUUUAGGUGUAAUCUUUCUUAUGUCUUUGAUGUUUCAAUUCAAUAAACUUUAUGUUGUGAGUAUGA